UACGGGGGGGGCAAGCGUUGUUCGGAAUUACUGGGCGUAAAGGGUUCGUAGGUGGCUUGCUAAGUCAGACGUGAAAUCCCUCAGCUUAACUGGGGAACUGCGUGUGAGACUGGCAGGCUUGAGUGCAGGAGAGGAACGCGGAAUUCCAGGUGUAGCGGUGAAAUGCGUAGAUAUCUGGAGGAACACCGGUGGCGAAGGCGGCGUUCUGGACUGUAUCUGACACUGAAGAACGAAAGCCAGGGGAGCAAACGGG
rnacentral:rRNA from 1 species